AACGCUGGCGGCGUGCUUAACACAUGCAAGUCUUGCGAAGCACUUAGGAAAGAUUCUUCGGAGGAUUUCCUAUUUGACUGAGCGGCGGACGGGUGAGUAACGCGUGGGUAACCUGCCUCAUACAGGGGGAUAACAGUUAGAAAUGACUGCUAAUACCGCAUAAGACCACAGCACCGCAUGGUGCAGGGGUAAAAACUCCGGUGGUAUGAGAUGGACCCGCGUCUGAUUAGUUAGUUGGUGGGGUAACGGCCUACCAAGGCGACGAUCAGUAGCCGACCUGAGAGGGUGACCGGCCACAUUGGGACUGAGACACGGCCCAAACUCCUACGGGAGGCAGCAGUGGGGAAUAUUGCACAAUGGGGGAAACCCUGAUGCAGCGACGCCGCGUGAGCGAAGAAGUAUUUCGGUAUGUAAAGCUCUAUCAGCAGGGAAGAAAAUGACGGUACCUGACUAAGAAGCCCCGGCUAACUACGUGCCAGCAGCCGCGGUAAUACGUAGGGGGCAAGCGUUAUCCGGAUUUACUGGGUGUAAAGGGAGCGUAGACGGAGCAUCAAGUCUGAUGUGAAAACCCGGGGCUCAACCCCGGGACUGCAUUGGAAACUGUUGAUCUGGAGUGCCGGAGAGGUAAGCGGAAUUCCUAGUGUAGCGGUGAAAUGCGUAGAUAUUAGGAGGAACACCAG
rnacentral:rRNA from 1 species